rnacentral:lncRNA from 1 species
UUUCAUUCAUCUCUCUUGUUCUUUACUUUCUAUUUCAAACACGUUAUCAGCACAUAGUCUCUACCGCUAGAAAAAGGAAAGGCCGAGACCCCUACACCGGCCGGUGGAAGCGCCGAGCGGGCGUGAGACGCUCUAGCGCUGCUUACCAUUACACAUCGGAGAAAGGAAAGAUAGGCAUGCACCCAGCAUGCAUGAAUCUCUACAAAGGACUUGCAUGCAUGCACCGGCACACACAUGAAUCUCUACACACGACUGGCAUGCAUGCAU